CCAGACGCGCUGGUGGUUGCAGGUAGCAGCCGCUCGCUCGUUUCUUACCUGUCCAGUGUGUGGGGCUGGACUCCUGGUGUGACGUCAUUCACUACCAUCAACGAAGACAACAACAACAACAACAACAACAACAACAACAAACAACAACAGCUACAUCAACAUGAACAGUGGCAAGAGAUUCGAAAACAAUAAUAAGAAACAAUAAAGAGAUAGAAAUUGAAGACAAGAAUUAGAAAACGAGGAAGGGAGGACAAUAAGCAGAGGACACGUUACUGAGGCUGAAGACUGACUAUACAUUGACCUGACGUAAUAACUGAUAACUGCCUCACCUUCUUCAGUUAUUGUUAUUGUUAUAUUUAUCCCGAAAGCGUUAAAUCCGUGUGACAUUAUUCAGCGUCGGAGGCCCCCUCCUCAGACAUGGCUCCGCGCGUCCUGAUCCUUGCUGUGACCCUGACUUCCGUCUCCAGGAGCGUGGGCGGCGGCGUGGGCGUGAGUCCAGAACUACGCAAAGUAGACCAUCUCCUCAACCCCGCCCGCUAUGACAGGCGUCAGACUCCAGUCCCUCACACAGGU